rnacentral:rRNA from 1 species
UACGUAGGUGGCAAGCGAUACUCGGAAUCACUAGGCGUAAAGCGCAGGUAGGCGGUUUGGUAAGUCUUUUGUGAAAGCCCCGGGCUCAACCUGGGAAUAGCGCUUGAUACUCGAGGACUUGAGUUCGGGAGAGGAGAGUGGAAUUCCCAGUGUAGAGGUGAAAUUCGUAGAUAUUGGGAAGAACACCGGUGGCGAAGGCGGCUCUCUGGACCGAUACUGACGCUGAGGCGCGAAAGCGUGGGGAGCAAACAGG